AGCAGUAGCCGCGGGAAUACGAAGGGUGCAAGCGUUAAUCGGAAUUACUGGGCGUAAAGCGUGCGUAGGCGGUGAGUUAAGUCUGUUGUGAAAUCCCCGGGCUCAACCUGGGAAUGGCAAUGGAUACUGGCUCGCUAGAGUGUGAUAGAGGAUGGUGGAAUUCCCGGUGUAGCGGUGAAAUGCGUAGAGAUCGGGAGGAACAUCAGUGGCGAAGGCGGCCAUCUGGAUCAACACUGACGCUGAGGCACGAAAGCGUGGGGAGCAAACAGGAUUAGAUACCCGCGUAGUCCCUGUCUCUUAUAC
rnacentral:rRNA from 1 species